UUUAUUUGGUGAAUUAUUUGAAAAGUUAUUGAUCAUGUAUAAUGGUUUGUAUAAUCCUAUAAGUUAAUUUUUGUUUGAUUUGUUGGGUUGCAGGUACACGAAAUUUGAAGGGGUAGGGAAAGCUUUGAUGGAGUUUCUUGUAGUCUAAAAUUUUUGGUAUCUUUAGUUUUAAGGGAUCGAAGAUUCUCAAAUACACUCUGAAGUAAGCUGCAUUCGAAGAGAAGAGAAAGAUAAUCCCUUUCGGACUUAGGGUUUAGACAGGGUAUGCUUAGGUAUUGUACGUUGUGGGAAGUUUAUAAUGGUGAGUUGUUACUUUUGUACGUUGAGUUUGCAGUUUAAGGAGGAGAAAUUUGAAGCUACUUUGUGGUGCAUUAGGGAGAAAUGGAUAUAAUUAGAUGAUGUCUCUCACAAUUUUCAGUGAAUCAAAGAUUGAUAAAGAACUUUUGCUGUCCACAUGUUUUAAAGGAACACUGUUACCAGGACACACGUAAAAACAUCGAUCAUAACGACCGUGAGAAUCAUCAUAAUCAUAGUUUUAACAAGUGCUGGUUUUGCAAAUGUCAUCAUAUUGAUUUUCAACCCAAUAGCAGCUAACAAAUGUUGAUCCAAGUUCAAGUCAUAUGAGAAAAGAACCAUUUUCCUGUUUCCUUUAACUGUUCACGAGCUUUCCAAGGAAGCAAGACAAUCUUCAAUCUGAGAGGUGAAGGAUGAGAGAAGCUCUGCUCCAGUCUUGAUUGAAUUGCAGUUUUAAGGGAUUGAAUACGCUCAACUAGAGUCUGAAGUAAGGUGCAAUCACAAAGGUUUACAAUCUGAAGAGACAAGGGAAGGUUGGGUGGAAUUUGAAGUGAAUAGCAUGCGGAGACAUUUAAAGUUGAAAGCAACGGUGGAAGCUCUGGUAGACUCUCAAGUGACACGCAAAAGGAAGUAUUUAGAGUUUGAAGGGAAAGAGGAAGGUUGGGUAGAGUUUUGAGUGAUUUUGAGAACGAGACAUCUAAAGUUGUUAGGAAAGGGGGAAGCUCUGCUAUAUUUUCAAGCUUCUCGCAACCACGCAUGUAUAGAAACUUCAAUUCACUGUUUCUCCAAAGUGAAGAAUGCAACCUCCUCUCAGAAUUGCUUGGAAGUAUGGCCAAGGAGAUGCAGCUAUUAAGAUCCAAUAUCUGAAGCUUUGGCAGAGAGAAAAUAGAUGAAUGCAGGCUUCUCAAACUAGAACAACCACUGAGGUACAGUUCUUCAAGUCUUAUGGCUCCUGAUAAAUCUGGAAGCUCCUUUAACUUCAUGGCCCAAUGGAGAAUAAGUCUUUUCAAAUUCGCUAGAUUCUGUAAUAAAAUGAAAAGAAACGAAGAUGUCACAUGAAUUUACCUUUAUAACAGUGAGACUCAUGUAUUUACCUUCA